UAGUGAAUGGAGGUUGAAAUCUACUUCUUGAAUACAGACUGUUGAUAUGUUUAUACCAGAAAGGAUAUUUAUUAGAUAACAGUACACAUUAGCUAGGAUGGUGCACUGUGACAUUGUUGAAUUGACUGGAAUGCACUCUGAUAUUCUUUAUUGCACCUCGAUCUAGACAUUGGCUUACAACAUCAUUGUGUAUUUGGGGCAAAACAUUAUAAACAUAAUGACGUAAAAUGUAUUAAUGCAUUAUUUAGGAAUAUCUUUAAUUUAUCUUAAAAUAAUGGUUCCAGCUUUCAUUAUUUGUACUGUUUUCAAUUUAAAAAGGUUUUAUUAUUCAUUGUAAUAAAUUGAACAUAUCAAAUUGUUUUUGUUUAGAAGUUUUGUAAAUGUUUGUUUGUGCAAGUGUGUAAGUUGCUUUUCUAAGAGGAGCUCAAGUCCUGGAUUGUUGUGCCUCAUACAUAUAUAUCUGAGUCUACCACUUAUAUGCUAGAAUCUCAGUGACACUCAUGGGUGUUUGCCCUUGUACUGUCUAAACUGUGGUCUUUGAAAUUAAUCCGUUGGUCUCAUGGACACCACUCAGGAAUUAUGUGAACACUUAGUGCUGUUUUUAUUGUGGAUUCACAAAUUAUUACUAGUUCUUUUUUUAGACACAGGACUUGGUUAUGUCAAGUGUAAUCCACUAGAUUUUGUCCCAAGUUCAGUGGGAGAUGUGGAAGUGCUGGAUUUCUUUGUCGUAUCCGGUUGUUAUCUGUGUUACCUCCCCUUGUACACGACUCGGUCGCGUUGUUAUGUUGUAGCAGUUAUGUGUGAUAUAUAUGUUCUGAAACAUGUCCAUCCUUUUGUAGCUUAAAAAUUGAAGUAUUUGAUUUAUCACAAUUUUGUGAUUUUUCUUAAUAUUUUGUUUUUACUAAUAUUUUACUUAUUUCAGCGAUAGCCCUUAUACAAGCCAACUUUAAGAACAUGGAAAGAUCAAAUAAAUAGUGUUCAGGGAAAUGAGUAAAUUAUAUUUGCCUGUUUAUCAGAUAUUUUUUCAACAUGAAUGGUGAUUUAUAUAAUUCUUAGAUAAUAAUUUGAUAUAUUAUUGCGAAAUUAUUUAGAUCCCAUUAAAUUUUUGUAUUUGUGUAACUUUGUUAGCUUUCAGAGUGCUAUUAAUUUUGUUUCCCGUGUAAUUCUGUCUGUCAUUAGAGCACCUCUAUACUAUAAGUUUGUUGACCAGGGCAUUGUUUGAUAUAUCCAUCAUUUUCUGGCAGUAGGACAUCAAAAUUGAGAAGCACUUUGUAAGAUGUUUACAGAUUUUAAAUUAAGAUAAUGUGCCAUAUAUUAGGGUACAGUUACACAUUGAAACAGGUGCCAGGUGUUUAUUGAGAUACUGACUUAUAUUAAUCCAUUACAGUAUAUCUUAGUGCUAAUUUGUGUAUUUAUGUGCCAAAUGGAAAGUUAAUGAUUUAAAAGGGUCAAAAUAUAUUCAAUGUUCACAGAAAAUGUGACUAUUUCUAUUUGAUCUGCAUUAUUAACUUUCCUUAAGUUUGCUCUAUAUUGUAGAACUGUCAUCAAUCUGUCACACAUGUUAAUACUCAUCUUCAACAAACCUUCGUUAUACAUUCAGAUUAAGGUUAUAUUAAUUUUUAAAUGGAGUUCAAUUAUAUACAUGCUUACUUGAACAGAUGCUUCUUUAUCUAGAUAAGAAGUUUGAUAUCAGAGUGGGAUUCCUUAAAACAUCCUAAGAUGUUUUGUUACUUUUUCUCUCAAUUGAGAUUAUUUAUGAAGCCUUACACUCACCAUUAACACAUCUGUUCAUUGUUUUAUUAAAUAUCCUUCAGUUAUUAACUGUUGAUUUUACAUUCGAGCAAUACCAUAUUUUUUGUACCAGACUUGUCUGUUUCGAUGAUUAUGCUGCAUUCUAAUUAAACUGUAAAAUAAGACCUAUCCUUUCAAUUCCUUUUAACAAAGUUUGGUGUAAAGUACAAUUUGAAAUGAGUGAUCUGAUAUUAAUUAGAAUGUUUUACGCUGGUAAAAUACAUCUGCAUCAAUUUUUAUUGAUAUUUAUUUGUAGGUUUUGGGGAUGGGGCAUAUUUUGGUAGAUGUUGGGGUAUGGAGAUAUAUUUUAGUAUGCAGAAGAGAUAAGGGUAUCUUUUAGAAGACGGUAGAUGUUAGGGGUUGGGGAUCAGGGUUUUUGUUUUUAGAUGGUAUGUAUUGGGGGAUAUAUUUUGGUAGGCAUUAGGGAUUUGGGUAUGUUUUGGAGGGCUAUGGGUGUUGGGGUAUGUUUUGAUAGGUGUUUGGGUGUGGGGGUCAUUUUUGAUAGGCGGUAGGUGUUUGGGAUGGAGAUAUGUUUUGGUAGGCGGUAGGUGUUUGGGAUGGAGAUAUGUUUUGGUAGGUGGUAGGUGGUUGGGUGUGGGGGUCAUUUUUGAUAGGCGGCAGAUGUUUGGGAUGGAGAUAUGUUUUGGUAGGCGAAAGGUGGUUAAGGAUGGAGUAUUCUUUCUUAAUUGAUGGGCAAUAAGUAUUUGGGAUGGGAGUAUUUUUGGUUUGGGGUUAAGACGAAUGGGAAUGCAGCCAGUUAUUUUAUGAUAUACCAUAAAGUCUAACAGUGCAAAUUUUAGAUGAAAAUGGGAUAGCGUGUCCCACAGUGUGAAAUCUGCAUAAGCCAAUCCCCAUGGCAGGACCAUAGUUUGUCGCUUUUAGGAUUGAACUGUAUGUUAAGAUUACGUUUGUUUUACAAAAAUUUACUACAAUUGUAUCUCUAUAUCUAUAUAUAUGGUGUUGUAGGAUACAUGUAAAUAUUAAACUAUGCCUUUAUAAUGGCUUCAUCAA